rnacentral:SRP_RNA from 1 species
GCUGGGCGUGGUGGCGCACGCCUGUAAUCCCAGCUACUCGGGAGGCGGAGGCAGGAGAAUCGUUUGAACCCAGGAGGCGGAGGUUUGCAGUGAGUUUAAAUCGUGCCACUGCACUCCAGCCUGGGUGACAGGGCGAGACCCCAUCUCAA